UUUCUACCGUUAGAUCUACUCUUUGAUCAUUUCUACCCAUUAGAUUAUACUUUUAAACCAACCACCCACUCAACCCUAGGGGACCACUAUCAAUUUAACCAGGGACCACUACAAUCCUAACCCCUCAUCUAUUCAUCCAACGGCCGAAAACUCAAUAGUAUCAAGGGCUUGGUACUAUUGAUAGUAUAGUAGCAUAAUUCUAUAUAUAUAUAUAUAUAUAUAUAUAUAUAUAUAUAUGAGUCCGACUGGAAUACUAUCAACAGCACAAAGCAUUUGGUGCUAUCAAGUUUUCUGCCAUUUGAUUUACCUCUUUUAUCAUUUUCAUCCGUUCGAUUAUACUAUUCAACCAACCACCCACUCAAUCCUAGGAGGCUCACAUCAUCCUAACCACACAUCCCUUAAUCCAAUGGUAGAAAAUUUAAUAGCACAAAGUCAUUGGUUCUAUUAAUAGUAUUCCAGCCUAGUCUAUAUAGGGAUGUUGUCACGCCCCGAGCCCGGUCCUAUUUGGCCGGUUCGAGCAUGACGAACAGAUGCCGAACGGACAGCACCUCCCCUGCCCGCCUAAGGCUCAACAAUAAGUACAGAGCAAGUAUAUAAAAUACAUAGCGGAAACGUAAAUAUAUACUUGACUUGCACGAGGGCAAGCAAUAGCCAAAAGUGAAGGUACUAAACUAAACCAUAUAUAAGUACAAUGAUUAAUUUUUAACCACAUACAAGCAUUCAACCACAAGUUACAUUUACCUUUCAUCAUUUCUUUUACAUCACAUAUUCCCAAAAUAGGCCUUUACAUUUAACAUCAUUCAUAUAACUCUAAUCAUCAAAAUACAAAAGAUAAUAUAUAUAAAAGGGUAUGUAACUACUCAAAAUAGAACCCGCUCGGGUGGUCUCUGUCUAUGGCGCGAUACUUUUACCGCGAUCGUCGGCCGACUCGCUCGGUCCCGGCUCUGU
rnacentral:lncRNA from 1 species